rnacentral:rRNA from 1 species
CACGUAGGGCGCGAGCGUUGUCCGGAAUUAUUGGGCGUAAAGAGCUCGUAGGCGGCCUGUUGCGUCCGCUGUGAAAGCCCGGGGCUUAACCCCGGGUCGGCAGUGGAUACGGGCAGGCUAGAGGUAGGUAGGGGAGAAUGGAAUUCCCGGUGUAGCGGUGAAAUGCGUAGAUAUCGGAAGGAACAUCAGUGGCGAAAGCGACUUCCUGGACCAGUACCGACGUUCAGGCACGAAAGCGUGGGGAGCAAACAGG